CCUACGGGAGGCAGCAGUGGGGAAUAUUGCACAAUGGGCGCAAGCCUGAUGCAGCAACGCCGCGUGAGGGAUGACGGCCUUCGGGUUGUAAACCUCUUUUAGCAGGGAAGAAGCGAAAGUGACGGUACCUGCAGAAAAAGCGCCGGCUAACUACGUGC
rnacentral:rRNA from 1 species